GAUGAACGCUGGCGGCGUGCCUAAUACAUGCAAGUCGAGCGAACAGACGAGGAGCUUGCUCCUCUGACGUUAGCGGCGGACGGGUGAGUAACACGUGGAUAACCUACCUAUAAGACUGGGAUAACUUCGGGAAACCGGAGCUAAUACCGGAUAACAUGUUGGACCGCAUGGUUCAACAGUGAAAGACGGUCUUGCUGUCACUUAUAGAUGGAUCCGCGCCGCAUUAGCUAGUUGGUAAGGUAACGGCUUACCAAGGCAACGAUGCGUAGCCGACCUGAGAGGGUGAUCGGCCACACUGGAACUGAGACACGGUCCAGACUCCUACGGGAGGCAGCAGUAGGGAAUCUUCCGCAAUGGGCGAAAGCCUGACGGAGCAACGCCGCGUGAGUGAAGAAGGUCUUCGGAUCGUAAAACUCUGUUAUUAGGGAAGAACAAAUGUGUAAGUAACUAUGCACGUCUUGACGGUACCUAAUCAGAAAGCCACGGCUAACUACGUG
rnacentral:rRNA from 1 species